rnacentral:rRNA from 1 species
CCUAACACAUGCAAGUCGAACGGGAAGCGGUGCAUAUUGCUACGGUGAUAAUGUGCCGUGGAGAGUGGCGAACGGGUGCGUAACACGUAGGUAACCUGCCCUGAAAGGGGGGAUAACCACGGGAAACUGUGGCUAAUACCGUAUAAUCUCGCCGUGGCGGUGGUUACGGUGAGGAAAGCUGAGGCGAUUUGGGAGGGGCCUGCGGUCGAUUAGCUGGUUGGUGGGGUAAAGGCCCACCAAGGCGAUGAUCGAUAGCUGUUCUGAGAGGAAGACCAGCCACACGGGAACUGAGACACGGUUCCGACUCCUACGGGGGGCAGCAGUGAGGAAUAUUGCGCAAUGGGGGGAACCCUGACGCAGCAACGCCGCGUGGAGGACGAAGGUUUUCGGAUUGUAAACUCCUUAACUGGGGGAAGAGAGAGGACGGUACCCCAGGACGAAGACACGGCUAACUAGGUGCCAGCAGCCGCGGUAAUACCUAGGUGUCGAGCGUUAUCCGGAAUUACUGGGCGUAAAGGGUGCGCAGGCGGUGUUACAAGUCCGGCGUGAAAGCUUCUGGCUUAACUGGGAGAGGACGUCGGAAACUGUAGUGCUAGAGUGAAUGAGAGGGGGGCGGAAAUCCCGGUGUAGUGGUGGAAUGCGUAGAUAUCGGGAAGAACGCCAGAGGCGAAGGCGGCCUCCUGGCAUUUUACUGACGCUGAGGCACGAAAGCGUGGGUAGCGAACGGGAUUAGAUACCCCGGUAGUCCACGCUGUAAACGAUGUGAAUGAGGUGUGGGCAGUGUAGAAGCCGUCUGUGCCGGAGC